UUUAAUUCUCAUGUAUGUUCAGACGCAAACGCUUAACCGCAUAAAUGCGACGCCGGAGCGCCGAAGCACGGGUCGCUUCCACUGGUUUGAGCGUCGAGGGCGCGUGGCGCCGUUCGAUAAUGAUCCCUCCGCAGGUUCACCUACGGAGA
rnacentral:misc_RNA from 1 species